GCCCAAAGCUGCUGCAAUUGGAGUACAUCUCCCUUGGUUGGGGGGGUGGUGGUGUCUCCUAACUACAUAUUGGCCACAAAAUAUGAAGGUAACCAGCUUAGGCCUCUCUACUUGUAGGGCUUGGCCUGGCAGUUAGAGGGUUGGGUUACCUAGAGUCCCACCUCUCCUGCCCUACCCCUCCAUCUCCCGAGCUUUGAAAUGCCCAAGUCACCUCAAGGCUCUCUGCAACCUGGGCUAACCCUACUGCUGCCCCAUUCUGGGUUUCUGGCUGCCUCUUGGCCCCUUCUGAGGCCAUAGGCUAUGAGGAAUCAGUGCAUCCCUCGACAGUUGAUCAGAGAAAACCUCAGGCCCAGAGCGGGGCUGGACUGGUACUCAGUGCUGGUAGGGGAGACAGGUUGAGAGGUAAGGCUCCUGUUGAGACCCGAGACUUAGAAUCACUCCUCAUCUGGAACUACAAACCCCAGAAGGCUGUUCGCCUUAGUCAUUUGACCCCUGACCUCAGGAAGCCAUUUGUUGCCAAGCAACAGCAACUCCUACCGGCUUGCAACAGUUGGCGGUAAAACUGCUCCAGUGAGAGCCCUCGCUGGGGCUUGGCGGGGGAGGGGCGGCGAACCCCUCUGGGCAGUGGGCUAGUCGCGGGGCGGUGGUACAGUCUGCGCCUAGAGACGGGCGGUCGUCGAGGGGUGGGGCUCGGUGAUGGGGGCUACCGCGGGGAUGCAGGGCUCGGGUGGAGGGUGGAAGCACCCGACAGGGAUUAGAGGGGAAAGUUGCGCAGCGCAACAGGCCCUGGUGCACUGUUGCAGGGCUGCGGUAGGAUCAUGUGCGAGGGCCCGUCCCGCAUCUCUGGACCCAUCCCCCCAGACCCCACUCUCUGCCCGGACUACUACCGGCGGCCGGCCUCGGCCCAAGGACGCCUGGAAGGAAACGCGUUGAAGCUGGACCUGCUGACUUCAGGUCGGGACCUGGACUCCAGUCCUCCUCGUGGCCCUCGCAUCAGGCCUGAAGCCCGAGAGAUCCUAGAGCGUGGCCAGCGAGGCGUGGGGGACGUGCUGCUGCAACUGGGGUGCAUCUCCCUCGGUUCGGGGGUCUCUCCUAAGAGGAAGAAUCCAAAGGACCAUGAGAAGGAAAACUUGAGGCGGAUCAAAGAGAUUCAGAGGCGCUUCCAAGACCAGGAACGCAGCCGGGAACAGGGUCAGCCUAAGCCACUGAAGGCACUGUGGCGCUCACCCAAGUAUGACAAUGUGGAGUCUCGAGUCAAGGCCAGGAUGAAGGAGCUUGGCCCCACCUCUGUGACAGAACCUGCCCACUUUCUGCGGGCACACUCCCGCUGUGGCCCUGGGCUCCCACCAUCCCGUGCCUCCAGUCCUCAGCUCGCCCUUCCAGGUCCCCAAGCUAAGCUUGUUGGAACGCAGGGACCUGUGGCGGAAGGAAGCGGAAGCUCGCCAGCGUAGCCAGCCAGACCCGUCCAUGCCCCCGGGCCACACACUCAUGCCUGAGAAUCAGCGGCUGGAGACCCUGAACAAUCUGCUACAAAGCCAGAGCCAGCUGCUACGUGAGCUAGUACUAUUACCUGCUGGGGCAGACUCGCUGAGAGCCCAGGGUCAUCGUGCUGAACUGGACCGGAAGUUGGUGCAAAUAGAAGAGGCUAUCAAGAUCUUUUCCCGACCCAAAGUCUUUGUGAAGAUGGAUACCUAGUCCUUCCCCGCUUGGUACCCACCAAGAGUAACAGGGAGAUAUGUGUGCGGAUCACCACGUGGCUGCCAAGGGCAGACUCAAGCCCUGUCAUAGCUCAAAGACAGGAGCGUUGGGGUGGGCAGAAUCGAAAGCACUUCUUAGUCACCAGGGGCUGCAGAAGGGCCACCAGCCUCCCAACUUCUCUGUCAAAAUUAAACCUUUUGUACACAGUG